UACAGAGGUCCCAAGCGUUGUUCGGAUUCAUUGGGCGUAAAGGGUGCGUAGGUGGCGCCGUAAGUCGGGUGUGAAAUUUCGGAGCUUAACUCCGAAACUGCAUUCGAUACUGCGGUGCUCGAGGACUGGAGAGGAGACUGGAAUUCAUGGUGUAGCAGUGAAAUGCGUAGAGAUCAUGAGGAAGACCAGUGGCGAAGGCGGGUCUCUGGGACGGUACUGACGCUGAGACGCGAAAGCGUGGGGAGCGAACAGG
rnacentral:rRNA from 1 species